AAGCAAAUUGAUGAACUAGUAAUC
rnacentral:snRNA from 1 species